GGAUGACCUCACAGACAUGGAUCCUGAAGUGGCGGCCCUGUAUUUUCCCAAAAACUAAGGCGUUUAAUGUCUCUUUCCUUGUCGUGGUGCUUUAAUAAACAUCUGUGCUGAGAUGCAGCCGUUUGCGGCUCUGAGGGUGGCCGCGUGCCAGAGCAUCACUGGAUGGCGAUGUAGGACCCUGGACUGGGACAG
rnacentral:sRNA from 1 species